UCAACUCAUUGGACAUCCCACAAAGUUCAGUUUAAUCCAUCAAUAAGAAAUGGAAGCAGUAUGGCACUUGUUUAAAUCUGCCUAGAGCUGGCCGUCCUCACAUCUGAGUGAGUGUAUGUUAUUGAGGUGCUAUAAUGAAGAUGCAAUGUAGAAAAGUGCAAAGUGCAGAGCAGCAUGGAGAUGCACUUGUAAACAUGUAUGCUAUUCUGCAUUUAAAGAGAAUAGUGCAGAAUGUUGGGUUAUUUUAAGUUAUUUUGGCAGUCUUUGUUUGUGUCAUGAUCAUGGUGGUUUACUGAGGUUGUUGAGUAGUCUGAUGGCAUGAGGGGAAAAGCUGGUAAUGAGUCUGGUGGUUUUGCGGCACAGAUCUUUCCGGCAAUGUAGCCGAACGGCACGAUGACAGGUUUAGUGUCUCUUUACAAAUGUUGCUCCUGACUCUGAGUCAGCAUCACUAUGGACGUAGAUAACGUUCUUAUUAAAGCUGACCAGGAGUGGUUGAGCCCAGCAGAGUGGUGUCUCUGUGGAACCAGAGUUCCUGCAGAGAGUCCAAACACCAGCAACUGGUCCCCAGCGCUUCAAGUGCACUGCACCGAGUCGGAUCUCUCCGGUGUGGGAAAAGAAAAAGGCCUACAUUUAAAGACCUAGUUUGAGUUAAUGAGCUGGCCUACCAAUGGCAUGAGACGCAGCUCUGCCUCACUCACACUAACAUUACUGUCCAGUCAGAAGUAGAGUGGGGCUGCAGAGUCCAGCUGAGCUCAGGGAGGCAGGUGCUGAGGCGGAGACGAUGGAGAGUUAGUUAAUGACACCUGGAGUACUGAACGGAGUACUAUCACCCCCUACUGACCUGUCUUCGUAUUGCUGUUUCAGAAACCCCUACAGUCUGCAGUCUGAGCCUGUCGAGGGCUGUUUGCAACUAGUGUCAGGGAAAAUCAUUUUCAGAUAAUGAUCUUUUUGUGGGACGGCUCAGAGCUCUCCACCUGAGAGAAACUCAAAACCACCUCCUAAAACCUGAAAACCUGCACAGAAAGUUUCCUAAAUAUUAAUUUCUCAGUUUUUUUGCAGCUGUGAGUUUCAGUUUGAACAAUGAGCAGCAGGCUGGGCUGAUCAACACCACUAACUGUGACCGUGUGUGUGUGUGUGUGUGUGUGUGUGUGUGUCUGUGUGUGUGUGUGUGUGUAGCCUGCUCUCCUGUACCUGGUCCCGGCCUGCGUGGGAUUCCCCGUCAUCGUAGCGCUGAUCAAAGGAGAGCUCACAGAGAUGUUCAGGUACGAGGAGACUCCUCCGGAGGACUCUGAGCCUAAAGAGGACACAGAAGAAAAGAAGGACCAAUAGCCCCUCCUCCCCUGCUCCCCCCCCCAGCCUGCUGCCGCCACAUUUCACGAAGCCCUGCCCAACUCUCCUGCUUCCUGUCUGUUGCCAGGGAAACGUUGUUUGUGUGAUCACCGUGGGAGCGCGGUGGUCUUUGUGGUUAAAGUUGCUCAGACUCUUUCUGUACGCCGGGCGCUGCGACGUCAUCACAUUUCUUCUUUGUGUGUCUGCGGCUUGCCGGCUCAGGUUUGCCUCGUUUCCUCCGCACGGCUCCGCUCCAGUUCCGCCUCUUACAGCUGCAGGUUGGUCCUCAGUGUUAAAACUGCCAUGACGUCAUCUUCAAUCUCCGGUUGUAGCUCCAGCUCUGCUCUGGUUACAGCUCCGGUUCGGUUCCAGUCCGCCUCUUAGAGCUACAGGUUGUUCCUCAGUGUUAAAACUGCCGUGAAGUCCUCUUCAAUCUCCGGUUCCUGCUCCACUCCGGUGCCAGCUCUAUUUCCAGCUCCACCUCUUACAUCUACAGGAUGUUCCUCAGUGUUAAAACUGCCAUGACGUCAUCUUAAACGUGUCGCUGUUAUCAUCAUACAAACAGAAGAACCUGUUGUACGCAGUAGGAACAGCGCCAACUCCACACAGUGGCCAGACGGUGGAGUUACACCUUCUGUGUCGCCUCGUGCGUCAGUAAAUCAGCGGAUCAUUUCUUUAGGUUACAUCCCAGUAGGAACACCUAAUAACGCCGCGUCAAACAUGAUUUCUUAUGUAAAGGAAGAUGAAGAAGCCUUAAGUACGGUGGCCCUGAGAGCUCACAGCGCUGCAGCCUAAGAAAACACAUGCAAAUACACAAAACACAAGCAAACUGAGAAAACAUCAUCAAUUUGACAACACAAGAACAGCGUUUAGAAAACGCUGCAAAGACCACAACACAACAGAAGUGUUUCCAGAGGACACUUAAAAAUGAUGCACACGUCUGGACACGUUGGUGAUAUUAUCAUGUUUCUGUUGUGUUGUGGUCUUUGCAGCGUUUUCUAAAUGCUGUUCUUGUGUUCUUGUGAGCUUUAAGGGACACCUUACUUAAUACCUACCAGCUGAUAUUAACAUGGUGCAAAACCAAAACCGGAGCAAGCGGAGCUGCCGGACCAAGCCUUGCGGAGGAAAUGCGGCAAAAGACCUGAAACCAUAAAACUUCCACUGUUGGUUUCUGAUCAGCCUCUAAAGUGGAAAAAUCCAGCUUCUGUUGUUUAGUUUAAAGCGCCUUGGUCUCCAGGUGCUCCAGGUUCUACCUUCUGCUUUCUCACAUUGCUGUUUUUCUUUUAGUUCUUGUUUUGUUUUUUUAUUUGUUUUAUAGUUUCUUGUUAAAGGCCAGAACUUUAAGCGGAUGCAUCCAGUUCAGAAGUUGUUUUUUUAAAUUAUUUUGUCCCAGCUGUUCGGUGUUUACAUGUGAGUCAGCUUUUAAAGCUGCAGGGAUGUUGGGAAGCAGCUGUUUGUCCCAGGAGUCAGUCAACACCUGCACUCUGGAGAAACAAAGGUACGGCAGCUGAAAACCAAAGGGACAAAAUGUUUCGGCUUCUUCUCCUCAGUUCCGCUUCUGGUUUUCCUGAUUUCUUUCCCCGCCUGCUUAAAUAAAGUCGACUGAAAGCUCUGAAUAUUAGUUUCAGUCUUAAAGUUCUGGCCUGAGGAGUAAAGGGAGGAGGAGGUCAUGAACCUGCUGAAUAAUUCCAGUCCUCAUUCUCACUUCUGAUUGGCCGAGGAGGCUGCGAGGGGCGGGGCCCCGUUUCCUCCUCAGCUAAGAAAAACUGAGAACAGCAAGGUUUCUUUUCAACAAGCGUUCUGUGUUUUGAAACUGAAUUAUUUGGUUUUUGGACAAAACCAUUAAAAAAAGUGUAAUCAUGGAACAUGGAAAUAAAAAACUGAAUGUAACGUAAUUUUUCCCUCUUUUUCUUUGUUUUAUAAAGUCAUGAGAGCAAAAACAUUCAGCAGCAACAUCAGGAAUUAAAGGAAAUCGAUGUUACUCUGCAUGUUUGAAAUGGUAAAUUUGUUCCAAUAAGUCGCAGAAUUUAGAGAGAAAAGUCUGAAGUUUGGUAUUAAGUGGCCUUUCAAAUUUAUGUACAUUUAGAAACUCACAAGAUUAAGGAAAAGUGUCAAAAUUGAAGCAGCAGAACCUAAAAUAUCAACUAUUAUCCCUCCAAGUCCUGCAAACAAACAAACAAACCCCCAAACAUAAUGAAAAAUACAUUUCCCAAAAUUUGCCACUCCUUUGUUUUGAGUGACUGUUUUUGCAAAAAUGGCCCCAAAAUUAUGAUUUAUUGUGAACUCAAACACUUUUUAUUUCUCUAAUUUUAAUUAUUUAAGGCUUUUGGGAAAGUAUUUUUUCUUUAUUGAAAUUAAAACAUUGCGCUGCUGCAGGUGAAUCUUCUGACUGGACGUAUUCAGCCUCUCGCUCUUAUUCUUGAUGUUUCUUGGUGUUGUUGCUUUAAUCAGAGAUGCACAGUUUUGUAUUUUGAUGUAAAACAUGAAAAGUAACAGCAGCGUUCAGCUCCGUGACGUUCAGUAGCCUCAUCAUUUAUAAUCUAAGGUACCUGAAUGUUUUAUGUUCUUCUUUCUCUCUGGUUGCAUUUGUGCUCGAGGUCGUUUCACGGCCCGACUGUAUCUUCUUUUAUUUGCAAUAAACUUUUUGGUGUUUUGAUCACCGUAUAGAAGCAUAA